UUCCUGUACUUGGUGUUACUGCGAAGGGGGGACGGAGAAGGCUAUGUCGGCCGGGCGACGGUUGUCCCGGUUUAAGCGUGUAGGCUGACUUUCCAGGCAAAUCCGGAGAGUCAAGGCUGAGGCGUGAUGACGAGGCACUACGGUGCUGAAGUGACAAAUGCCCUGCUUCCAGGAAAAGCCUCUAAGCAUCAGGUAACAUCAAAUCGUACCCCAAACCGACACAGGUGGUCAG
rnacentral:rRNA from 1 species